UGUCUGCCCUUGGGCUCCCUGCUUUGUGCAGCGAACCUUGGGCACCCGAUCCUCUUCAUUGUUGUCCGAGUUGGCUAGUAGCUCUCUCGGCGUGAGACGGUUCCCGUGUUGUGUACCCGGCAAACAAAGUGGAAGUUGCUAUCGUAAGCGUAAUUGUUUGCUCCAAACCGAGCUAGUAUCGGCGCGGGGCAACGUGAUCGUGGGUCUUGUGAAGCCAGCACUCGGCGUUCUCGUUGGGAGCAUGGUUAACGAUUCUCCAUGUGCUUUGGGAUGCGGUGAACAUGGUUGUGUCCGGGUUUUAGAACUCGGCCAAAAGCAUUAUAAAGAUUGACGGCUGGCCCAUGUCGUCCGUUCCCUGGCUUGCCAGUGGAAUGGCGGUGUGGUGCCGGCGUCGCAGAGGAAUGCUAC
rnacentral:misc_RNA from 1 species